AUUUGCUCCACCUUGGCCAAAGGGAAUGCUGAUGGCAAUGCAUUCUCUUUGUGAUGUUUUAUGUUAUUCUGUGAGAUUGUGCGUGUGUGUGUGUGCACAAACUUGAUAGGAAAAUUUGGUUAUUUUUAGUUCUAGGAAGUGUAAAUUAUAAAAAUGACUGUUUUGUUCUUUUUGAGACCGGGUCUCCCUCUGUCACCCAGGCUGGAAUGCAGUGGUGUGAUCUCGGCUCACUGCAAUCUCCGCCUCCCGGGCUCAAGUGAUUCUCCCACCUCUGCCCAUUCACAGGAAACUAUGCAAAUGAAUGCACAGUCUGUCACCAAAGAAAUGACAAGCAAGACAAGCACACAUCUGACUGGCCUGCUUUCGUUCACGUCAUCAUUAGUGAUAUUCUCCUGCUCCAGACUGUUCUUUCUGGGCAUAAGACAGGCAGACUUCUGCGUUCACAGUCUCUGUUAAGAGACUGCAGUCAUCCACUUCGUGGGCCCUUGACUGUUCUCCUUCAAAAGAACCAGGCAGUCAUUGCUUUUAAAGUGGACCUGACGCUCUACAGUCACAAAGCAGUUUCUUCUGAACUGUGCUAUUUGACGGCUCCAUUUCAUUUUUAGAUCUAUCCAGUGAAUUAGAUGCUGGAAAGAAGAAGCAAAGCAUUUUCUAUCUGAAAGAAUCUUGCAGCGAUUUAUUAAACACGCCUAUAAACCAAUAGUCUACAUAGAAAUAGCAUAGAAUGCACAAAAUUUCUUUUCAUUGAACUAUAAUAGUAGGAAGCCUUAUAAAGGACUAGAGGUCAGUCUGAGGGUUUUUAAAAAUGCUGUGUUUUUAGAACUGGCAGAUAUUUUGUUGAAAGCGUUCUCUCUAACACUUAAUCUAAUUAUGAGUUAAUUGAGACUAAAACGACUUUCAGUCUUAAAGGGGUUUAGAUUAAAAGGCUUUGCCUGAACAGCAUUUUUCACUGAAAAUAGGGAUGUCAUUAGUCUUGUUAGAACUCACUUCUAAACUGCAGCGAGAUACUGCUAAUGUACCUGUAUUUUCAAUGAGAUGCUAUAGCUCAGUGUCAGAAGAGUAAGAUAAAAUAAUACUGUUUCGUGGGGAACAAAGCGCAAAUGAACCAGUUUAUUAGCUAAUCAGCGUUGCUUAAGAGCAUGUCAGGAGUGGAUUGUUUCUGUGACUUUAAUGGUGAUUCAUCUUUAAGACACUUUCAAGUAGUGAAACUAUGAUUUCUUUGUUUUGCGAUAAAAAUAAAACAGAAAUAUGCAGAUUCCAUGUAGUAUAUAUUUGCUGUAUCUCCUUAAUGAAAGGAGCUAUUUAAUGUUUUCUCUACCUUGAGGUAGCUUUGGUAAAUAUUUGGAAGUUUAGAAUAAAAUACUGUCAUGACAAAGUAGGAGUGAUUUAAAUGAUAAAAAUGUUUGUUCCAGAGUAAUCCUAUUAGCAAGACUUCUACAUAAUCAGAAACUCUUAAACUACAGCUCAUGUCCAGCUGCAGUCUAAGUGUCAUUCAGACUACUCUGGAGUAGAGUUGACCCUUUGUAUCCGUGGGGUUGGCAUCUGCAGAUUCAAUCAACGUUGGAUCGAAAAUAUUUGGGGAAAAAAAAAAAGAUGUUUUUUUCUGAGCUGACCAUGUAUAGACGUUUUUCUUAUCCCCAAACAAUGCCGUGUAACAACUAUUUUCAAAGCAUUUACAUUGUUUUCGGUAUUGCAACUCUCUAGACAUAAUGUAAAGUAUAUAGGACUACAUGCAUAGGUUAUCUGCAAAUACUACAUGAUUUUGUAUAAGGGACUUGAACAUCCAUAGAUUUUGAAAUCCUGUGGGGUCCUGAACUAAUUCCUCAUGUACCCCGACAAAUGACUGUGUAAUUUAACGGGUAAGCCAGGCAUGGUUGAUGAUUUACACAUCUUUUAAAUAAAUGUCGAGCAAAUACUGAUUUGACUUGGGAACCAAGAUUGUCAUAUUCCCAGCAUAUAACUGGAUUUUAAUCACUUUCGGCUCUUUGUAUUAAGGAAGAAGCUUUUCUGUUUUUGUUUCCCCAAGUAGCCGGCUUCCUGUUUAUAGAAGGCCAAUUUUUGAAGUUAUAACUUGGAUCUGGCUAGAAUUUAUUUGGAUGAAAAACAAUGUGUGUACAUGAUGAAUAAUCUGAAAUGGUGCAAACAAGAUCACUGGUAUCUGAUGAUUAGCUCCCCAACUGAUCUUUACAACUCUAGUAAUAGAGAGUAACUUUAGACUGAUAAAUAGAAACAGACACACAAAACAUCAGAGAUGAAAAGAAAGAAGCAUCUGUAAAACAGAGAGCAAGCAGGCCUGAGUGUAAGAAGACAGAGCAAUGGUUCAGUGCCUAAUUAUCAGUCACGUUUUUGAAAGUUUCUAGUGAGAAAUAUCUCACUUUAAAAUAGCUCAUAACGUUUGGCUGAAAUGAUAGGAAUUUUAGAAAAGGUGACACUAUGCAAUUAGUGUAUUCUACCCUGGUGGUUAACUCUUCAGUGGCCCAGCAAAAUGUACGCU
ensembl:lncRNA